AACAAACCAAUUUUUUACUUUUUACAUAUAAUGACUCUUCGUCUUAUUCAAAUUUUUUUGAUUAAUAUUAUUAUUUUUAUUAGAUGAUAAAUUAUUAAUAGUACUUAACUUGUGAUUAAUUUUUUUCAAAUUUCUUUAAAAAAUUUCAAAUAUGACGGAUGGUCAAACGCUUUACACGGAAACCGAAGAGUUGGCUUAUC
rnacentral:pre_miRNA from 1 species